rnacentral:rRNA from 1 species
CCUACGGUGUGCUGCAGUGGGGAAUAUUGGACAAUGGGCGAAAGCCUGAUCCAGCCAUGCCGCGUGUGUGAAGAAGGCCUUCGGGUUGUAAAGCACUUUCAGUGGGGAAGAAAGCCUUGGGGCUAAUACCCUCGAGGAAGGACAUCACCCACAGAAGAAGCACCGGCUAACUCCGUGCCAGCAGCCGCGGUAAUACGGAGGGUGCGAGCGUUAAUCGGAAUUACUGGGCGUAAAGCGCGCGUAGGCGGUCUGAUAAGCCGGUUGUGAAAGCCCCGGGCUCAACCUGGGAACGGCAUCCGGAACUGUCAGGCUAGAGUGCAGGAGAGGAAGGUAGAAUUCCCGGUGUAGCGGUGAAAUGCGUAGAGAUCGGGAGGAAUACCAGUGGCGAAGGCGGCCUUCUGGACUGACACUGACGCUGAGGUGCGAAAGCGUGGGUAGCAAACAGGAUUAGAUACCCGAGUAGUC